rnacentral:rRNA from 1 species
GAUGAACGCUGGCGGCACGCCUAACACAUGCAAGUCGAACGGAGUGGCGAACGGCGGAGUAACACGUGGGCAACAUGCCCUCCUAUUGGGGAUAGCAUCGGGAGACCGGGAUAAUACCCGAUAGAGAAGGAUGGCCCGCGGCCGGUUGGCUUGGUGGUGGGGUAGAGGCCUUCCAAGGCAAUGAUGGGUAGCUGGGUUGAGAGACCGACCAGACAGAUUGGGACUGAGACACGGCCCAGACGCCUACGGGAGGCAGCAGUGGGGAAUCUUGCACAAUGGGCGAAAGCCUGAUGCAGCGACGCCGCGUGCGUGACGAAGGCCUUCGGGUUGUAAACCGCUUUCAGCAGGGACGCGGUACCUGCAGAAGAAGCCCCGGCUAACUACGUGCCAGCAGCCGCGGUAAUUC